GCCAUCCCAAAGGUUGGGCCACUCCCUACCAUAUGCACCUCUGCUGAAGCAAGUUGAGAACUGACUCGCCGGGAGGGAGUCGCUGGCCAACGUGAGGCCAGCCUUGUGCACAGAGCGCGCAUGGAAAUGGUGCGGGUUCGCCGUCUCGGGAGUUGGAUACGACUGCCAUCUUUUUAUAAAUGAGAAUUGCAGGAUCAUCGACCAUUGUGUACUCACACAUUUAAAGAUGUGUAAGUCUUAAAUAACCCUUUGGGAAUAUUAAGGAGCUGUCACAGGGGUUCUCAAUUUUGGAUGUGCAUAAAAACACUUCUGUAGUGAUUUUAAAUGAAAGUGCCUGGUCUCAACUAACACCUGCUGAACCAGAAUUGCCACGGUUUGGGUUUGAGAAUCUGUUUUUUUGUUUUUGCUUUUAUAAGUUUCAGAAGCAAAAGUGAGGGUCGCUGGUUUGCAGGUGAUUGAAGGGUUUGGCCACCUGUGGGCCAUGAUGUCAUUGUUGUUGGUGGUGGUAAUGGUGAGGUUGGGGCUGUGAUGUCGUUGUCAUUGGUGGUAGUGAUGGUGAGGUCGGGGCUGUGAUGUCAUUGUCAUUGGUGGUGGUGAUGGUGAGGUCGGGGCUGUGAUGUCGUUGUCGGUGGUGGUGGUGAUGGUGAGGUCACUGUAGGAAAGCCCAGCAGAAUGGCCCUGAAGCGUGGGCUCCGUCCCCGAUAUGCCUUCCCAUGAUCUCUUUUC
rnacentral:lncRNA from 10 species